CUACGGGUUGCAGCAGUGGGGAAUAUUGGACAAUGGGGGAAACCCUGAUCCAGCAAUGCCGCGUGUGUGAAGAAGGCCUGCGGGUUGUAAAGCACUUUCGGUUGGGAGGACUGCUUCUAGCACUAAUAUUGUUGGAAGUUGACGUUACCUUCAGAAGAAGCACCGGCCAACUCCGUGCCAGCAGCCGCGGUAAUACGGAGGGGGCAAGCGUUAAUCGGAAUUACUGGGCGUAAAGCGCGCGUAGGCGGCUAGAUCAGUCGGGUGUGAAAGCCCCGGGCUUAACCUGGGAACUGCAUCCGAUACUGUCUAGCUUGAGUCCAGGAGAGGAGGGUGGAAUUCCACAUGUAGCGGUGAAAUGCGUAGAGAUGUGGAGGAACACCAAUGGCGAAGGCAGCUCUCUGGCCUGAUACUGACGCUGAGGUGCGAAAGCGUGGGGAGCAAACAGGAUUAGAUACCCGCGUAGUC
rnacentral:rRNA from 1 species